ACCCUUGUCCUUAGUUACCANNGGGUUAAGCCGGGAACUCUAAGGAUACUGCCAGUGACAAACUGGAGGAAGGCGGGGACGACGUCAAGUCAUCAUGGCCCUUACGACCAGGGCUACACACNUGCUACAAUGGUAGGUACAGAGGGCAGCUACACAGCGAUGUGAUGCGAAUCUCAAAAAGCCUAUCGUAGUCCAGAUUGGAGUCUGCAACUCGACUCCAUGAAGUAGGAAUCGCUAGUAAUCGCGGAUCAGAAUGCCGCGGUGAAUACGUUCCCGGGCCUUGUACACACCGCCCGUCACACCAUGGGAGUUGAUUGCACCAGAAGUGGUUAGCC
rnacentral:rRNA from 1 species